GAAGCAAAAGGCAGAGGGAGCCUGAGGCAGCUGCUCACAGAGAGCAGAAAAGGCAUCGGCUUUCCCUCUCCACUUACCGAACCCAGGAUCCGGCCAGGGAAUGGCACCACCCACAGUGGGCAAGUCUUCCUACUUCAAUUAGCGCAAUUAGUGCAAGCAAGACAAUCCCUCCCAGGCAUGCUCAGUGGCCCUCAGGUGAUUCUAGAUUGUGUCAGGUUGACAAUUAACCUUCCCCAGCACAACAGUUUUGAGCACAUACCAAAGGAGGCAGACUAGUGUAGUGAACCUUCCAUAACCACAUUUGACGAUUAGGGGCUGCUCGCAGUCAGCGUUCGUCCAUUUACAACCUUGGCCUCCUACUUUCUGAUGGGGUUUUUGAAACAAAUCCUGACUCCAAAUCAUUUCAGGCAAGGCUUGAUUCUGCACCGCAAGGAAGACAAUGCGGUCUGCUGUCUCCAGAAGCCAAGCCAGAUGAGAAGAGGGCAGGGAGAACCGCUACCCGCUGUGUUCCUGAGGACUCUGACUACAGGUCAGACGUGGAGCAACAACAGCAGAAGACCCUCAUUCAGUGACACCAGAGCGCGUCGUGGCACUGAGUCCAGACCUGGGCUCUGCAGAGGACUGAGGAGCUCGAAGGUCUCCCGCUGCUCAUCCAGCUCAUGCAGAGUCCUGUAUUCCUGUCAAAAAGCGAAUACAGCAGCCUCUUAGACAGGAUUUCUCUGUGUCAUUUUUGGUGUCUGUCCUGGAUCUCACUCACAGAAGGCGGUGCCCUGGAGAAGGAACAACAGAAAAACAACGAACAGGCUAACAUCAGGUUACCUCUGUGUAAAGAUGAAGCAGAGGAAAUUCCAUCAUAUCACACACUGAAACUGGCCUGAUUCAGAAAU